ensembl:lncRNA
GGAGACAGCGCGCUAGCGGAGCUAGUCUUCUAUCUAUAGCUAUGGUCGGCACGCCUGGUGGCAUCUCUGGCUGCUGUUGACCUUGUUUUUGGAGUAAAACACGGUGGAAGCUGAAUUAGUGAGGAUGACUCCUGCUCCUGUCAUCUCUAAGCUCCUCACACAUCUUUACCUGCACAUGAGGAAAAUCACUCCUGUAGAAUGCAGAUGUUCAGAGGGAGAUGAUGCCACAUCUGGUCCAGCUGAUGGAAGGUCUUGAAGUUCUCUGACUGGCCUCGACUGAAGAUGGUCCUCUCACUGGAUUUAAGGUUCAGAUGCUCAGUAACAAACUCCACCAAUGAGCCAACAGGGAAGCUUUAGGUUUAUUAAAUGUUGCUAUGAAGGUAUCGCUGUUUUUCUUCGUGAAUGCAAUGUGCUCCAACUGAAACUUGAAUUAGAACUUAGAAGUAAAUCCUUCCAUCUGAGAGGAUUUAGUUGCAUUAAUAACCUCAUAACAUUCUAAUUUUUAUUCUAGUUUUGGUUGGAAAUAGAAUCUCUGUAUUGAUUCAGGUAAAAACUGAACUUCACAGCAUGUUGAAGCAAAACAACCAGAUGAAAACUGUGAUGGUGUUGGAUUGUCAGACCGUAAUGUUGCAGCUCAAAGCAGCUUUUCUAGCUCAGUUCAUUCUGACAUUCAGCUAUGAAUCAACACAGCAGAUGGUGAUCCAUGCUGUGGAAGUCUCACAUCUCCUGAUUUAAUGGAGCUGCUUUACACUUUUUACACUGUUUAUUCACCAACACUUCAUUUUAUAAAAGUCCCAUCUAGUUUUCAUGAGGAAUGUGAUGUUUUAAUUUCUCUGUGAAUAACUGCAGUCUAAUGUAACAGCUGGAAUUGCAACAUCUGUCCUGAUAUUGAUCAUGAAGUAUUGAUCAGAAUACUUAUGGUUAGCAGUCGUCCCUGAAGUUUUACAUUAAAAUCUUUACUUGUGUUGUGAACUUUAGUAAGAAGCAGAAACUUUAGCGUUGCCAUGGACACGAGUGUUAAAUUCUGUCCAAAAUUUAUGACUCUGCACUACAAUAUUAUUUAUUAUUUAAAUGUACAUCAUUAUUACAAUAUUUAGGGUCAGACCCUACAGUAUUGAGAUUAAGAAAUCAAAUAUUCUUUAAAAUGUAAUUACACUGAACUCAUUUGGAUAUAUUUAAGUGAGACUCUACAAUAUUGUAGUAAAUCUAUCUGAAUCAAAAUUUUAAUCAGUUUUACUCCAAACCUUUACUGGACUGAUUUAAACAUUAAAAGCACUCCUUUCUAAUCCUCUGCUGUACGUUCAAACCUGAGGCCUGAAAUAGAAACACACAAGUAUCUGAUUGAAGGAACUUCUGCAGAGUCCUGGUUCCAGAACAUGAUGAUAGAAUUAUAGACAAACUUUAACAAAAGCUGCCUGAGAGUUUACAGGUUUUUAUGUUAGAUUUCUUCAGUAAUUUAAUGA